UCGCUCGAUUCGUCCUAUUACAGAGGUACAAAGAAGUUGGACUCGACACCAGCGUUUUGACUAGAGUUGAAUAUGGGAGUAGAAGUUCACGAGCUGGCUGCUAAAGGUCCAAUGCUACAGCCUACAGGUAAGUAAUUAAUAGAUUUCUUCAUUUCAUUAUUAGAGAGGUUCAUUUCUUUUCAUUAAUCAUGUUGACAAGAGGACAUCAUUGACUUACAUGUAUGAUUGUGGUAACUAACUGACUGAGAACAACUAGAGGUGAUCUCAAAGCGAGUUUGAGCCUUUGUGGACGCAAAAAAGAUAUGAAAAAGGAAGUUCCUGUGUUGAUCGAUAAGUUUCCAGAAUGUGGGUUGCGAUCUUUGGCUAUUGCAAAACAGGUGUUCAACUUGAUAUUGCUAAGAAGACUGGUAGACGACUUGGUAUGAGACAAACAUGUACCCUUCUUCUUUACUUGGUGGCCACAAGGAUUUAUCUAUAGCAACUUUUUGUAUUCAAGAGUUCAUUGAGAAAGCUCAUGGAUUUUGAUGAAAACCAAAAGCUCACAUUGAAAUUGAUAUUGCUCAUGCUAUAUAUGAUGCUAUCAUGGUGCAGACAAUAUUUGGUGACAAUGGCGAAUCUCCUAUAUUUGUUGUAAAGUGGUGGAUCUGUUUGAGAGAGGCCAUGUAUAUAUAUAUAUUUUAGUUUUUGAAUAUUUGCUCUGCAAUUAAAUAGUCAAUAUUACUAUUUUUAUACUAUUUUGGUAUUCACGCUCGGUUGGGAAAACAUAUGUAUUGUUAUUAGAUUGAGAAUCGUUUAUAUUGAAGCCCACACAUACUAUAUU